rnacentral:rRNA from 1 species
AGUUGUUGCGGUUAAAACGUUCGUAGUCGUAUUUCUGCUUCGGAUCUUCCUUUCAAAAGUGAGAAUUCGAGCAUUGGUGUGGGCGGUUUACGUCACUUAAUUGUGCCGUUGCGUAAACCCACACUUAUUAUUUUGAGGAAAUUAGAGUGUUUAAAACGUGCAUGGGAUGAAUAUAAUAGCAUGGGACAAUGUGAAACGGGGACGAGAUUGGCGUGGAUUUUGGCUCGGCCCAUUUUCAAAAGGAGCAUUUGGGGGUAUCCGUAUUGAGCUGCUAGAGGUGAAAUUCUUGGAUUUUUUUAAGACGAACAAAUGCGAAAGCAUUUACCAAGGAUGUUUUCAUUGAUCAAGAACGAUAGUUAGGGGAUCGAAGACGAUUAGAUACCGUCCUAGUCUUAACAGUAAACUAUGCCGACUAAGGAUUUGUAAAUGUGAUUAUCACUUUAUAAGUACUUUAUGAGAAAUCAAAGUCAUCGGGUUCCGGGGGGAGUAUGGUCGCAAGUCUGAAACUUAAAGGAAUUGACGGGAGGGCACCACCAGGAGUGGAGCCUGCGGCUUAAUUUGACUCAGCACGGAGAACCUUACUAGGUCCUGA